AAAUUGACGGGGGCCCGCACAAGCGGUGGAUUAUGUGGAUUAAUUCGAUGCAACGCGAAAACCUUACUACCCUUGACAUGCCAGGAACUUGCCAGAGAUGGCUUGGUGCCCGAAAGGGAGCCUGGACACAGGUGCUGCAUGGCUGUCGUCAGCUCGUGUCGUGAGAUGUUGGGUUAAGUCCCGCAACGAGCGCAACCCUUGUCAUUAAUUGCCAUCAUUCAGUUGGGCACUUUAAUGAGACUGCCGGUGACAAACCGGAGGAAGGUGGGGAUGACGUCAAGUCCUCAUGGCCCUUAUGGGUAGGGCUUCACACGUAAUACAAUGGUCGGUACAGAGGGUUGCCAACCCGCGAGGGGGAGCUAAUCCCAGAAAACCGAUCGUAGUCCGGAUUGCAGUCUGCAACUCGACUGCAUGAAGUCGGAAUCGCUAGUAAUCGCGGAUCAGCAUGUCGCGGUCGAAUACGUUCCCGGGCCUU
rnacentral:rRNA from 1 species